CACGACCGGCCGCGGCCCUUCCCUCUCUCCCUCCCUCCGCCCGCCCCUCGGCGAUGCCGCAGCGCCCGCUCGGUGCCUCCGCCAGCGCCCGCCGCCGCCUCGGGCCGCUCACUUCGGCGCCGCCAUUUUGUCGGUGUCCCCGCCGCGGAGCCGCCCGGAUAUGGGCAGAUCCCGGCCUGCCUCGCGCGGCUCCUGCCGCUCCCGGAUGGAGCUGCGGCGGCUCCCGCCCGCCCCGGCGGGGAGCGGCAGCGCCUGUAACCCCUGCGAGCCCGCUCGGCGCAGCCACACACGGUACACACACAACACGCACCCCCCGCCGCUGCCGGGCGUCAGGCAAUGCUUGUUGCUCCCGUGGCAGUGCCGAGGUCGAUGGACAAAUCCCGAUCUCUUCAGGGGGGUGAAAAAGCUCUGACGAGCCUCCCGAUCCGGCUACUGCCCGAACGAUGGCCUCGUUACGGACCGACAGGAAUGAACACCCACCGAUUAUCGCUCAGAGUCGCAUCUCGACCGUUUCUUUCCAUUUCAUCCAUUUAAUUUCCAUCUUUUGCAUUUCAAACAAACCGAGAAGCAAAAUUUAAGCUGCUCUAACGAGCCCCUUGGCAUGUUCGUACGUUGCCCGAUGAAGGAAGGACAGCCCUGUCACCCAGCUCCUGCAGCCAGACACAAGGAAAUCGGAUCAGGAGUGUUGACAAGUGAGGCACAGGUAUCCAUUGCAGCUUCAAUUCCUGUAGCAUCUGAUCACCACAGGCUGAAGCCACAUGACAUCUACUGGAAACCAGAGGUAUGGCAAUAACAUGAAGCUACAAUCCGAUGAGCAUUAGAUUCUGUGCCCUACGGUACACAGACAUCUACAUGGCAUCUGACAGAUUUACAGGAGUGAGGGUGCCUUGCAUACACGUAAUACUCUACGGAUACCUACCAUAAGAUUACUGUGAAAUGCAUGUUAUAAUUACAGUUUCAACAUAUGCUAACAGUUACCAAGAGACACUGGGCACUGACAAAAUCACUUACCUAAACCACAGCCUAUUAACAGCAAUGGGAAUUAUUACACAGACAACAACAGGAUUUAAAUCUAGCUCAGUUUGUUUUCUCACAGUAUCUUAUAAGGCACAAAGUUACCAUUCAAAUACAUUCCAAAUGCCAGAAACCUUAUAUUAGGCCUGUGGAGAAAAGCAGAUGUAAAGUGUAUAUAUAUAUAAAUAGGGAAAGAGUUUUUGGUUGAGAGUUGGAAUUUGUUUUCUUAAAAAAGAGCAAGUGUACAGGUGCAAUAGUCCUUCAAGAAUUAAACCAUAAAACAGACCACCUAAACACAAUGCUUAGUCACAACAGUGGUUCGGCCAUUAAGCAGUCUGCUUUUGAUUAUUUAAAUACCAAAGAAGUUAAAAUCCUUUUAAAAAAUCAGUGAUAUAUCAUCCCAUUGUUAGGAUGCUAUCAGGAAAGAUUUACAUCAGAUUAUAUAAAGUAGACAUGCUUCUCAGUAAAUAUGUAAAAAAGUGGAGGUCUUACAAAGAAAAUAUUUGAGAUGGCUCAUUUCUUUGCUGUCUGAGGUCCCAUAUUUUUAACUGUCCAAUUGAAUUUACUGUCAAGAUCUCAGUUGUGCGAAGGAAGGUCACUGCAUGGAGCGUACUGCUGUCUGCAUUGUCUGCAAGAGAUGAGAAAAGCAUUCAGGUAAACCUAUGGAAUGCUAAUCUCCCCUUAAUUACAACAAAAUACCUCUGUAUAGAAAACAGAAACACACUUACCACCUCUGCAUUUUCAGCAUGAGAGACAGAUCGGUAUCUGCAAAUACCCUGUGAAAAAGGAGCCCUUGCUUCCUAUAUCAAACACUACUGAGACAAAUCUGUAAGAAGCUGUGUUGAUUAAGUUUGGUGCUUAGAGAACUCCUUGUUGAUCCGUAAGAUUUCUUUUUGCAGUUCCUUCAAGAGGAAUCAACUCAGCCAAGUUUAUGGUUUUCAACAGUUUUCUUUAUAUGCCUAGCACCUACUGACAGGAGGCAACUAUGGAGCUUUUUAUAAUGGAGUUCUUCUGAACACAAGGAACAGUACUCUGACUGGGAACAUUAAGCAGUUGUAUACAGAAACACUUAAUUUACCAACUUUUAGACCUUUUCCAAGAACUGUCAAUGUGAUAUCAAGUUAAAUCAGAGUUUGUUAAAUCAGUGCUUGUUAAUAACUAAAUGGCAAAGUUCUUUUUUUUCCAGGUCCUUUUCUCCAGAGCUUCUUUUGGUCAGAGUAAUUUAAAAUGUUAAACAAUUCACAGCAUUGAGGUGAAACUUUUGAGGCCUUAGGAGAAAAUGUAGACACCAUUUUCUUUAAUUCUGUUACUAUAUAGAAACUUCUCAUCUUGAUUAUGAUAGGGUAACAUUUUUAAGUCUACUUUCACCUCAAAUAUUUUGAAAUUCUUUGUGUAAGCCCAUACAAAAAGACAACAUAAGUGAAUUAUUAUCUUUCUGAAUAAGAUAGUUGCCUCAUUACAGAUACUUGAGUGACUUUUCUGCUUUCUAUUUAAAUGAAAACUGAGGGGAAGAAAAAAAACCUCACCAAAACACUUUUAAAAACAAAUGUUAGAUUACUGAACAGUGAAGUUCUAAAGGAUUUAAAAUUUUAUGACAGAGUAAUACUAAGUGAUUUAGCAAUGAUACAUUUUUAUAGCUCCAAAAGAUUUUUACAGAAUCUCUAACUUUGGAGAUUUUUUCCUACCAUAAUUGACUACAAACGUAUCAGCUUUCUAUUAUACUCUUAACGCCAUUAAACAAUAACAAAAAUACCAAGGUAUUCCUUUCCAUAUAUUGAAUGAGGUACAAGAGUUCUAUCAGCUCAGCGCCUGUGAAAUGUCAAGGUGUCAUGGAAUCGGGAACCAGUAUGAAAGAUUGCUUACACCAUAGAACUCCAUCCUGAAGAACCUGAGAGCAUCUUCCAAGAUGUUCUCUCUCCCCUCUCCAACUUUUACUGUAAAACCAUCCAUAGUACAUAAAUUUGUGCAUGUGCUUUCCACCUAACUCCACAUAAGCUUCAUUUACGGGGUCAUCGGUAUGACAGACGUACUUAUGUACCAUUCCUAAUUUACCCUACCCAUUUUCCAAAGGACAUUUCUCAGUUAACUCACAUCUGAUUUCUUAAAUGCUUACGUGCCAGCAAAUCUAAAUGCAGUCUUCCCUGCAGCAUAACACUAUGCUAUCAUAGUGUUAUGCUAACAGAUAAAGCUAUCACUACAAAGCAAACGUUUUCAAGUAGCACUAUGAAGUGAGCACCAAUAAAACUAGCAACUUGCAUCCAGCACAUUAUUAAAUCUGUAUGUAAGCAUCCAAGAAAUUACCCAGAGAAAAAUAAUUUUGGGGGUUUUGACAUUUGCUGCAUGAGAAUUCACAAAACACUCUACUCUAUUAAACUUGUACCAGAACACUCUGUGUUGGUAUCUGUGUAUAUGUAAAAAUUUUCCAAUAAAAUAAUGUUUUUAAAUUA